rnacentral:rRNA from 1 species
GAGUUUGAUCAUGGCUCAGGACGAACGCUGGCGGCGUGCCUAAUACAUGCAAGUCGAACGAGUCCUCCCAAUUUGAUUUUAUGCUUGCAUAAAUGAUUUUUGGAUUCGGGACGAGUGGCGAACUGGUGAGUAACACGUGGGUAACCUGCCCUAAAGCAGGGGAUAACAUUUGGAAACAGAUGCUAAUACCGUAUAAUUAGUUGGAACCACAUGGUUCCAACUUGAAAGAUGGCUCUGCUAUCACUUUAGGAUGGACCCGCGGCGUAUUAGCUAGUUGGUGAGAUAAAAGCUCACCAAGGCGAUGAUACGUAGCCGACCUGAGAGGGUAAUCGGCCACAUUGGGACUGAGACACGGCCCAGACUCCUACGGGAGGCAGCAGUAGGGAAUCUUCCACAAUGGACGCAAGUCUGAUGGAGCAACGCCGCGUGAGUGAAGAAGGGUUUCGGCUCGUAAACUCUG